AGCGGCGUACGGGUGCGGAACACGUGUGCACUGCCUUUAUCUGGGGGAUAGCCUUUCGAAAGGAAGAUUAAUACCCCAUAAUAUGUUGAAUGGCAUCAUUCGACAUUGAAAACUCCGGUGGAUAGAGAUGGGCACGCGCAAGAUUAGAUAGUUGGUGAGGCAACGGCUCACCAAGUCUACGAUCUUUAGGGGGCCUGAGAGGGUGAUCCCCCACACUGGUACUGAGACACGGACCAGACUCCUACGGGAGGCAGCAGUGAGGAAUAUUGGACAAUGGGUGAGAGCCUGAUCCAGCCAUCCCGCGUGAAGGACGACUGCCCUAUGGGUUGUAAACUUCUUUUGUAUAGGGAUAAACCUACCCUCGUGAGGGUAGCUGAAGGUACUAUACGAAUAAGCACCGGCUAACUCCGUGCCAGCAGCCGCGGUAAUACGGAGGGUGCAAGCGUUAUCCGGAUUUAUUGGGUUUAAAGGGUCCGUAGGCGGAUCUGUAAGUCAGUGGUGAAAUCUCACAGUUAAUUGUGAAAUUGCAUUGAUACUGAGGUCUUGAGUGUCGUUGGAGGUUAGCUGGAAUUAAGUUAAGUGGUAGCGGUGGAAAAAUUG
rnacentral:rRNA from 1 species